AACGAACGCUGGCGGCAUGCCUAACACAUGCAAGUCGAACGAGACCUUCGUGUCUAGUGGCGCACGGGUGCGUAACGCGUGGGAACCUGCCCUUAGGUUCGGAAUAACUCCCCGAAAGGGGUGCUAAUACCGGAUAAUGUCUUCUGACCAAAGAUUUAUCGCCUUUGGAUGAGCCCGCGUUGUAUUAGCUAGUUGGUAGGGUAAAAGCCUACCAAGGCGACGAUCCAUAGCUGGUCUGAGAGGAUGAUCAGUCACACUGGGACUGAGACACGGCCCAGACUAUUACGGGAGGCAGCAGUGGGGAAUAUUGGCCAAUGGGCGAAAGCAUGAUCCAGCAAUGCCGCGUGAGUGAUGAAGGCCUUAGGGUUGUAAAGCUCUUUUACCCGGGAUGAUAAUGACAGUACCGGGAGAAUAAGCUCCGGCUAACUCCGUG
rnacentral:rRNA from 1 species